ACUGAGAGAAUAUGUUGAUAAUUGAAAGAGUAUUCCUACUUCAUGUAAAAGGUUAGUUCAUCUAAAAAAAAAAAAGAAUUAUCAGUUGGCAACACCGUAUGCCAUUCUUUUUUCCAUGAAACACAAAAUUUGAAAAUAUCAGUAAUGUCCUGGUCCCUUUUUAAUGGUUAAUGUGGACCUUGUGCUUUCAAGCUUCAAUAAAAAAGCUUCAUAAAAGUAGUCCAUAUGAAUCAUGCACUGUAUUCUAAGUCAUAUAAUAGAUAGCCUAAAAAAAAAAGAAUUAUCAGUUGGCAACACGUAUGCCUAUCUUUUUCCAUGAAACACAAAAUUUGAAAAUAUCAGUAAUGUCCUGGUCCCUUUUUUAAUGGUUAAUGUGGACUUGUGCUUUCAAGCUUCAAUAAAAAGCUUCAUAAAAGUAGUCCAUAUGAAUCAUGCACUGUAUUCUAAGUCAUAUAAUAGAUAGCAAAAAAUUUAAGUUAUUAUUCAUUGAUAUUCUUCCCUUCAGUGAACUGUUAAAGCAACUGAUAAGUAUGUAGAAAAGAAGCGGAAGCCCUUCGCCUUAUUUGAAGUCCCUCAGAAUGAUUUUAAAAGUGACAUUUCAAGGAUCAUUUUGGAAUUACAGAACAGACAAACAUGUAUAGUUUUAGACUUUAUUAGACAAUUGUUGUUUCUAAAGGUUUAUGUACAGGUACGUAAAAGGUCAAAGGGAGCUCCUGUUUUUAUUCCAUAUAAAGUCUUGUGUGGAUAUUAAGGUGUGUUCUCACCUGUAGGGCUGGACAGAGACGAGCCCUUCCCUGAUCAGCACACAUUAACAAUGUACAGAAGGAGAGGAAAACGCUCAUAGAGAUUCGUCAUAACUCAUUAAUACAUUACUACGCUGACUCUGUGUGAGGCGUACAGGUAAGAAAAAAUCUUUUUAAAACUAUGACUUAAUCAUGAUUCAUAUACAGUCCAUAUACAAUUGUAUAUGAGAUUCACAUCUGAUGUUAAUGUAUAUUUUACUUCUUUGCAAUACAAUCAAAUUUGCUUAAUGACAACUUGGUGAUGGAAAUUUCACUCAUUUGUAUUACUGAUAGAAUAUUAUUUGGAGCAGAAAUGUAUGAAUUUGUCGUAACUAAUCAAAAGAUCCUUCAUCUUUAAACUCACAGUGGGAAAUAUGAGAUUCAUGGAAAAGCCUGUGCUGACAAUUGUUUAAAUAGUUUUGUCAAUAGACAGAAAAACCAGUCAUUCAGGACAGAAAGCACACAAAACUAUUAAAUAUGGAAUGCUUGUGAUAGUGCUUUAUUAUUUUUUUUAGUAAUCAUCUGUUUGUCAGAGAGCAAUCAGAUAAAUGUGAUUUAUGUAACACGAUCACGCGAGAAAUUAAACACUAAUGAGACUUCUAAUUAUUAGUGGAUCAUAUAUAUACGACCAACAUACAGCUGUGCUUUAGUUUGUCUAUUUUCUCAUUAAAUACCAUUUUCUGAUUUCAUAUUUGUUUGUUUAGGGUGAAUAUUAGUGCAUUUUUUACUACUAGAU
rnacentral:lncRNA from 1 species